GACGAACGCUGGCGGCGUGCUUAACACAUGCAAGUCGAACGGAAAGGCCCUGCUUUUGUGGGGUGCUCGAGUGGCGAACGGGUGAGUAACACGUGAGUAACCUGCCCUUGACUUUGGGAUAACUUCAUAAAACUGGGUCUAAUACCGGAUAGGAGCUCCUGCUGCUUGGUGGGGGUUGGAUAGUUUCGGCGGUUGGGGAUGGACUCGCGGCUUAUCAGCUUGUUGGUGGGGUAGUGGAUUACCAAGGCUUUGACGGGUAGCCGGCCUGAGCGGGUGACCGGCCAAAUUGGGACGGAGAUACGGCACAGACUCCUACGGGAGGGAGCAGUGGGGAAUAUUGCACAAUGGGCGGAAGCCUGAUGCAGCAACGCCGCGUGCGGGAUGACGGCCUUCGGGUUGUAAACCGCUUUCGCCUGUGACGAAGCGUGAGUGACGGUAAUGGGUAAAGAAGCACCGGCUAACUACGUG
rnacentral:rRNA from 1 species